CUGAGUCACCCAGGUGCCCCUCUCCUGUCAUUUUAUUAAAAAAAAAAAAAGUCACUCGAGUUUGUGCAUGCUCGGCGAGGCAGGCGAGACCCCAGACCAGAUGCCAGAGGCCCCGCUGCAAAUCCCACACCAGGAUCUUGCACAAGCUUCUGUUUCCUGGAUCUGGCCUCCGACUAGUCCAGGAACAGAGUGACUACCUAGUUUCGUUUUCCCGCUCCGGUGCGCCUAUGUUCAUAAAGGCGAAGGCCCCGCCGAGCGCAGACCUCGCGCUGCAGACGCCCGCCCGCGGGAAGCGCACUCCCCGCCCGCCCGCGUCCACGCCCGCCCGCGCCCCACGCGCACGCCCCUCGCUCAGGAGCCCGGGCUCCCCAACCUGAGCAGAAAGCCCGAGGGGACGGCCGCCUCCCAGGACGGCCCGCCACCACCAUGAGUGAAAUUCCUAAGGACCCCUUGAAGGCCAUUCUGUUGGAGUUAGAAUGUCACUUUACAUGGAAUUUACUUAAGGAAGACAUUCUGUUUGAUGUGGAAGAUACAAUUGGGCAGCAGCUUGAAUUUGUCACCACAGAAUCCAGACUUAACUCUUUAUAACCUAUUGGCCUAAGUGAAACACCUAAAAGGCCAAAAUGAAGAUGCCCUAGAAUGCUUGGAACAAGCAGAACACAUAAUCCAGCGAGAGCACUCGGACAAAGAAGUUCGACAUCUGGUCACUUGGGGAAACUAUGCCUGGGUGUAUUAUCACAUGGACCAGCUUAAGGAAGCUCAGAAGCAUUUAGACAAGACAGGGACCACCUGCAAGAAACUGUCCAGUCCUUCUGACUACAAGUUGGACAGACUUGAGAUUGACUGUGAGAGAGGGUGGGCACUCUUGAAAUUUGAGGAAAGUAUUACCACAGGGCAAAAGCGGCUUUUGAGAAGGCCCUGGAAGCGGAACCUGACAAUCCAGAAUUUAACAAAGGUCAUGCCAUCACAGUGUACCAGCUGGACGAUACUGACAGACACGGGUGUAUAAAGAGCUUUUCUCUGGGCCUGCUGAGGAAGGCUGUCGCCCUGAACCCAGGUAACGCCUACAUUAAGGUUUUACUGGCACUGAAGCUUCAAGAUGUACAAGCAGAAGAUGAAGGGGAAAGGUAUAUUGAAGAAAUCCUGGACCAAAUAUCCUCCCAACCUCAUGUCCUUCGUUACACAGCCAAAUUCUACAGGAGAAAAAAUUCCUGGGACAAAGCUCUUGAAGUUUUGAAAAAGGCCUUGAAGGUGACACCAAUGUCUUCGUUCCUGCAUCACCAGAUGGGACUUUGCUAUCGGGCGCAAAUGAUCGAAAUCAAAAAGGCCACAGGCAACAGACCUAAAGGGGAGGAUAAACUGAGAAUGGACAGGCUUAUUACAAUGGCUAUCUCUCAUUUCAAAGUAGCUGUGCGAUGAGACUCCAAGUUCCCAUUUGUCUACACAGACCUGGCCAACAUGUAUGUCAAGGCAGGCAAGUGUAGUAAGGCUGAAGAAGUUUUCCAGAAAGCAUUUCAUCUGGAGAACAUAACUGAUGAUCACAAACAUCAGAUCUACUACUACUAUGGCCGCUUUCAGGAAUUUUACUGUAAGUCAGAAAGUACUGCCAUCCACCAUUAUUUAGAGGCCUUAAAGAUCAGCGACCAGUCAUCCCUCCGUCCCAAACUGACAAGUGUUCUGAAGAAAUUGGCUCUGAAGAGACUUGGUCAUGAUGCUUCAGAUGUGCAGAGUUUAUGUGCCCUAGGGCUUGUUUAUAAGCUGGAGGGAGAAGAGAGGCAAGCUGCUGAGUACUAUGACCGGGCCCAGCGGAUAGAUCCAGAAAAUGCAGAGCCCCUUGCUGCUCUCUGUGAGCUUCGACUUUCUAUUUAAAUAUAUACUCUAGGAAAUUGUUUUUUAAGCUUUUCUUACCAUUUUGGGCUCAUAUAUUUUUGUUUAUUGUUUUAAUCCAUUGGUUUUUUUUUUUUCUUCAAGAUUUUAUUUAUUUAUUUGACAGAUACAGCCAGAGAGGGAACACAAGCAGGGGGAGUGGGAGAGGGAGAAGCAGGCUUCCCGCGGAGCAGGGAACCUGAUGCGGGGCUUGAUCCCAGGAGCCUGGGAUCAUGACCUGAGCCAAAGGCAGACGCUCAACCAACUGAGCCACCCAGGCACCCCCCCAUUGUUAAUUAUAGAGCCAAUUUUUAUUGAAUGUUUACUGUAUACCAGGCAUCAUACUAAAUGUGAUGAAUCUUUUGGCUUUUUUUUUUUAAUUAAAAUACUGUAUCCAUUUGAAAACAGAAACAUUCCAGAUGUACCUUUCAAAAAUGGUAUGGCAUUAUGACUAUAUCCCCUUUAUCUCUGUUAUUUAUAAUUUUCUGAUUAGGGGCACUUGGGUGGUUCAUUCGGUUACGCGUUUGACUCUUGAUGCUUGUCCCUCUCCCUCCACCCCUCCCCCCUUCCUCUCUUUCUCUCAAAUAAAUAAAAUCUUUAAAUAAUAAUAAUAAUUUUCUGAUUAAAGUUUGUCAUAUUUCCCAUACUGCUCACUUAUGCAGUAAGCAUAAUCCUACAUAAGCCUUUGACCCCUAGUCAAGAACGCUCUUUCAGGAGUGCAAAAUUAUAUUAGUUAAGCUCUUAACUAUGUAGCUUGCAAAAGAUGGAUCCUAUCCAUUUCUGACUCUGAUGAGGAUAUUUAACCAUUAGCCUGAUAGUCACUUAAAGAAUCCUUUUUGUUGAAAGAAAAAGCUCAUAAUAGUAAAAAGUCUGCCAUCUUUGAUGACUUCAAUAAAAGAAAAAAACUAAAACCGGGGGAAAAGGAUUUCUUUAAAUAUAGAACUUUAGGGACCCAUGAGAAAUCAGAAGUGUUAUCUCCCCAAAAUGUUCACUGCGUAACUAGAAACAGCUGUGAGAAAAAAAUGAACAAUGGAAAAUCGUUAGUCUCAAGUUUCUCUGGUCUUUUAACUAGAAGAAUAAACCGAACCUAAAUGGAAUUAAUUUUAUUCCAACUAAAACUGCAGAGUUUUUGGGUUAAAAUUAUUGAGACAGACAGCAGAUUGAGAAAUUGGGAAAAAUGAUUAAAAAAAUGGGUAAAGUAGAUGUCCCCGUUCUACAUCCAUAGAUUACCAGGGUUUCAGUGAUUUGGUUUUGAGUCUGGACUGGGUGGUUCUUGUACCUCCAAUUUCUGGCCUUUCGUUAACUCCUUUAGUAUUCCAAACUUACUUCUGUAUAGCUUUUUCUUUUGCCUGAAGGUUUCAGAUUUACACGUUUUCCUGUAGAUCUUUCAGGAAUAGUUAAGCCCUACUUUUGGUUUGAAUAUCCACCUUGAAGGGUCUAUUGCUUAAGGACUCUUAUCCCUGGGGGGCUUUUUAAAUUGAGAUGCUGAUGAAAGUGGUUUAUUUUUUUUUUUUUUUUAAGACUUUACUUAUUUGACAGAGAGAGACACAGUGAGAGAAGGAACACAAGCAGGGGGAGUGAGAGAGGGAGAAGCAGGCUUCCCGCCGAGCAGGGAGCCCGAUGUGGGGCCCAAUCCCAGGACUCCGGGACCAUGACCUGAGCUGAAGGCAGACUGAGCCACCCAGGCGCCCCGAAAGUGGCUUCUUUAAAGUUGUUUCUUUGAUUAUCAUCUACAGUUAUAUUUACCACCACAGUAUUAGUGGAAAAGUGUGCCUUGUGGUUUGAUUCUCUAUACUGCCACUGCCUAAAGACUACUAUGUAUGUUUACUUUUUACUUAUUGUUACUAUUUUUAUUUUAAAUUUCUGUUAUGAUUUUAUUACAAAAAUGAUGAAUUCUCAUUGUAAAAUUUUAAACAGAAGCAUAUGAAUUUAAAAGUAAGGAGCUUCUCCUCACCCUAACCCAAUUCCACACCCCCCUGGUAAGUUGUUAACAAUAUGUAUCCUUCCAGAUGUGUUUUCUAUGCAUAUUCAAACAUACACCCAUACUGCAAUAUAUUUCAUGAAUUAAAACUUUUUAAAAGUUUGAUUUA